UACAGAGGUGGCAAACGUUGUCCGGAAUUACUGGGCGUAAAGGGCGCGUAGGCGGCCUUAUAAGUCAUGUGUGAAAGCUCUGGGCUCAACCCAGGAAUUGCAUGUGAUACUGUAAGGCUUGAGUUCGGUAGAGGAGGGCGGAAUUCCAGGUGUAGCGGUGAAAUGCGUAGAUAUCUGGAGGAACACCCGUGGCGAAGGCGGCUCUCUGGUCCGAAACUGACGCUGAGGUGCGAAAGCUAGGGUAGCAAACAGG
rnacentral:rRNA from 1 species